UAUACGACCGUACCGCAAACCGACACUGGUGCGCGAGAUGAGUAUUCUAAGGCGCUUGAGAGAACUCAGGAGAAGGAACUCGGCAAAUUGACACCGUAACUUCGGAAGAAGGUGUGCCCUAUUAGUGUGAAGUGAACAACGGAGCAUGAAUGGGUUGCAAAAAAUCGGUGGCUGCGACUGUUUAUUAAAAACACAGCACUCUGCAAACACGAAAGUGGACGUAUAGGGUGUGACGCCUGCCCGGUGCUGGAAGAUUAAAUGAUGGGGUGCAAGCUCUUGAUUGAAGUCCCAGUAAACGGCGGCCGUAACUAUAACGGUCCUAAGGUAGCGAAAUUCCUUGUCGGGUAAGUUCCGACCUGCACGAAUGGCGUAACGAUGGCCACACUGUCUCCUCCUGAGACUCAGCGAAGUUGAAAUGUUUGUGAUGAUGCAAUCUCCCCGCGGAAAGACGGAAAGACCCCAUGAACCUUUACUGUAGCUUUGUAUUGGACUUUGAACAGAUCUGUGUAGGAUAGGUGGGAGGCUUUGAAGCAGGGUCGCUAGAUCUUGUGGAGCCAACGUUGAAAUACCACCCUGGUGUGUUUGAGGUUCUAACCUAGGUCCAUUAUCUGGAUCGGGGACAGUGCAUGGUAGGCAGUUUGACUGGGGCGGUCUCCUCCCAAAGCGUAACGGAGGAGUUCGAAGGUACGCUAGUUACGGUCGGACAUCGUGACGAUAGUGCAAUGGCAUAAGCGUGCUUAACUGCGAGACUGACAAGUCGAGCAGAUGCGAAAGCAGGACAUAGUGAUCCGGUGGUUCUGUAUGGAAGGGCCAUCGCUCAACGGAUAAAAGGUACUCUGGGGAUAACAGGCUGAUACCGCCCAAGAGUUCAUAUCGACGGCGGUGUUUGGCACCUCGAUGUCGGCUCAUCUCAUCCUGGGGCUGUAGCCGGUCCCAAGGGUAUGGCUGUUCGCCAUUUAAAGAGGUACGUGAGCUGGGUUUAAAACGUCGUGAGACAGUUUGGUCCCUAUCUUCCGUGGGCGCUGCAGAUUUGAGGAAGCCUGCUCCUAGUACGAGAGGACCGGAGUGGACACACCUCUGGUGUAUCGGUUGUCACGCCAGUGGCAUUGCCGAGUAGCUAAGUGUGGAAGAGAUAACCGCUGAAAGCAUCUAAGCGGGAAACUCGUUUCAAGAUGAGAUCUGCCGGGGCCUUGAGCCCCCUGAAGAGUCGUUCAAGACCAGGACGUUGAUAGGUCAGGUGUGGAAGCGCAGUAAUGCGUUAAGCUAACUGAUACUAAUUGCUCGUGCGGCUUGACCAA
rnacentral:rRNA from 1 species